rnacentral:rRNA from 1 species
UCUAGGCGGGGAAUUAAGUUAGGUGUGAAAUCCAUGGGCUCAACUCGUGAAUUGCAUCUAAAACUGGUUCUCUUGAGUCCGGGAGAGGAGAGCAGAAUUCCUGGUGUAGCGGUGAAAUGCGUAGAUAUCAGGAGGAAUACCAGUGGCGAAGGCGGCUCUCUGGCCUAGGACUGACGCUGAAGCGCGAAAGCGUGGGGAGCGAACG